rnacentral:rRNA from 1 species
UACGUAGGGGGCAAGCGUUAUCCGGAUUUACUGGGUGUAAAGGGAGCGUAGACGGUGAUGCAAGCCAGAUGUGAAAGCCCGGGGCUCAACCCCGGGACUGCACUUGGAACUGUGCUGCUAGAGUGUCGGAGAGGCAGGCGGAAUUCCUAGUGUAGCGGUGAAAUGCGUAGAGAUUAGGAAGAACACCAGUGGCGAAGGCGACUUACUGGACUGUAACUGACGCUGAGGCAUGAGAGCAUGGGGAGCAAACAGG